rnacentral:lncRNA from 1 species
CAUUUACUUUAUUCGGCCCCGCCUCCGCUAGGUCCUACCUCCCGAACGCCAGGGACCAGCCCCCGCUACCAACCAUAAGUAGAGCCCUCCGUCAAUCAAAUAACGCCCACCUGCGCUCCUCCUAGCAAAGCCCCGGCCCCAGCGAUUGUCUUUUCUUAUUGGUCCAAAUCGUGGUCCGAACCCCCAGUCACUGGCUUUCUUGCGG